ACAAAAAAUCAUACCCGCGUUUACUUCCCGUGUCUACCGUAUCUCUCAAUUUUCCCAAAAUUAAUCCCAAACUUUCAUAGAUUCAAAACAUACAAUAAUUAUCCCCAAAAAUUAACCUCAAAAUCUCAGUAAGGCUGCUUCUUCUUCUCUAACGCCUGAGAGUAGAGGCCAGAAAUGGAGUCAUGAUCACGGAGAGAGGCAGAGAGCCGCCGAAGAGCAGAGCUUUUCCUCCUCCUCUUCUUCUUCUCCCCUGCCGAGCCUGCCGCCGCGCCAACCUCUUCAUAUUUGUCGUUGCAACAUCUUUUCCGGUCACCAUCGCUAUGAGCCCGUCGCCGCUUCUUUUAAGGAAGGAGGGAAGGAAAAACGAGUUUGAAAGGCACAAGCUGCAAGAAUUAAAUCAGCGCCAAAAACUGGUGAAGGUUCCUAGUUGUUAGAUGAUAGUUUUUAUAUAAUUUUUAACUUGGACUUUUUUGUUUACACUAGAGAUAAAUAUAUUAAGAUUGAAGAUUUUGUGAUGGUGAUGGUGGCUUUAUGUGCAUUUAUUUUUUCACCUUUUAUAUGCAACACCUGUACUUAAAAAUAAUAGCCUUUUACUUGAAUGAAAGAUAUGGGGAAGCUUGAAUUUAUUGCAUCACUACGAAGGUUUUACUAUGCCUGAGUUGGCCUGUUAUACUUUUUUAAAUGCAUUUUAAUGCAGCAAGCAACUAACUCUAUGUAGCUGGUGGAAGUUCUGAUUCAACUAUGCAUGAGAUGUGAGUAUAAAUAUUAGAAUUGAGUUGCUAUUGUCUAGUUAGAAAUUCAUAGACAGGGAGGCAUAAAUGAACUUUGGCUUUGAGUUGUUUUGAAAAUUAUUGCAGCUGUGAAAAUUUAUCUGGUUUACUGUUAAGUAUAAGAUACAAGCUACAUCUUCAAAAUUUGUUUCUGGUGAGUCUGUCUCUUAUAGUUCUUAUAAUUUUCUUCAGAUAUGCCUCAAAUGUGAAUUUAACUGGCUUGUGUCGUACGUCUCAAUUAAAAGUUGUAGAUUUUUCAUAUAACUUCUUUGUUGGAGCUUACCGAAAUGUUUGCAUGUUCCAAGAGGCAAGAGUGGCAUUCAGUUCUACAGUAGAUGGAAGUUUAGCUGAGGAAGCCAAGUCCAUCAAUACUAAUUUUCUUCUUCUAUGUGGCUCAAGAAAUCCAAAAAACAAGAACUAGUGAUGAUGUAACAAUCAUCAUAUCAUGAAUUUCCAUUGUCAAGAUCAGACAUGACAAAUGUUUAUUUUGUUCCUUAUAGGAAUGAAAGUUCCAAGGGAAUUAGCAAGUAUUGCUUUGAGCAUGCACACGAAGGCUGCAUUGUGGUCUCGGUUGGAAAAUUCGCCAAAGCAGAGCAAGGUUCCAGUUGAGAAUCCCCUUUGUUUUAAUUUUAUAAGAAAGGUACAAAUUAAAGAAGAGUUUCGGUCAUGGAUUAUAUGGUGAAGUAUGGUUAGCUUUUCAUUGGAAUUGUAAUGAAGGGAUUAAUGCUGCAGAAAUGAGCAACAAUGACAAUAAUAGAAAUAACAGCUCAAACACCAAUGAUUGCGAGGAUGCUUCCACUAACUAUACUUUGUACAUUUUGAAGCGUUAACGAUUUAGAAGCGUUAAUGAAAACUCGCAGGCGACAUUUCUGUCUUAAACAACAGUAGUACCUGUUCAGGAUGGUUUAGAAGUCUUAAUAAAAGUUCUAAAUUCCUCAUUUCAUUUC